UGGGGAAUCUUGCGCAAUGGGCGAAAGCCUGACGCAGCGACGCCGCGUGAGUGAUGAAGGCCUUCGGGUUGUAAAGCUCUGUGGGGAGAGAAGAAUAAGUGCGGGCUAAUACCCCGCAUGAUGACGGUAUCUCCUUAGCAAGCACCGGCUAACUCUGUGCCAGCAGCCGCGGUAAGACAGAGGGUGCAAACGUUGUUCGGAAUUACUGGGCGUAAAGCGAGUGUAGGCGGUUUGGUAAGUCGGAUGUGAAAGCCCCGGGCUCAACCCGGGAAGUGCAUUCGAUACUGCCAAGCUAGAGUAUCGGAGAGGUUGGUGGAAUUCUCGGUGUAGAGGUGAAAUUCGUAGAUAUCGAGAGGAACACCGGUGGCGAAGGCGGCCAACUGGACGAAUACUGACGCUGAGACUCGAAAGCGUGGGGAGCAAACAGGAUUAGAUACCCCCGUAGUCCCUGAGCGGGCUGGCAAGGCGCAU
rnacentral:rRNA from 1 species